rnacentral:lncRNA from 1 species
GAAAAACUUAAUUGCAUUUCCGGGCAGCUAUAUAAACCACUGGGGAACCAUAGUUCGGCGCGGCCUGUGUGUUCACCCGGAGUCGUUUCUCACACGGACACCAACACGGAUUUAGCACGCAGACGAACGUCCGCUGUUUUAAUCCCUUCCGAGCCGGGUCGUCGUUCAGUAGCAUGCAAAAUAUGUUAACCAUUAUCUCUAACGCACUUUGUAGGAUCACUGGCCGACAUGCGGGAGCCCAAACAGUGUCCGAGUUGCUGAUCGACCUGUCAGAGUACGUCAGUGUCACCUCGCCGGCGGCGCCCGCCUUGGCACAGACGCAGCGGCAACCACCUAAACCACCACCAGUCAGCUCUAGGGCGUCUGCUGCACAGUUAGUUAGCGCCCAGGCCGACCAGCUAGACAGACCAGUAAGAACAAGUAGCAUCCUCCAGGUGUGCCUGAUCACUAACGGGGGGGAAUCUGAACAAGUCUGUGGCUGGUUUUAAAACUCUGAUUCUAAAGCUGUCGGUAGCGUCAGCUCUUGGUUCUGGGUCUUCUCUUCUCUUUCUGGGAAAUGUGUGAAAUCACGACAUGAAGAAAUAGAGCAGCACGUAUUUAUCAUGUCCACUAACGAUUGUUAGUUCCUGAUCUAUGAAUGUUUAUUUUAUUGUUUCAUCAGAAAUCUGUUCCCGGAGCUCGAGAGAAACUGAAAUACUCGUUUAGUUUGACCCCAAAAUAUUGAAUUUACAAAACCCAGCGUCUUAAACGACUCGAGUGACAUUUGUUUUCUAAUCUUCUGAUAAUCUGUGAGCUGCGUUUACGCGUUACUAAACACUUUUACACUUUCUGUUGUUGCUGAAGUCAAACAUGAAGCGAUGAAAUGGUUUAGCAACAAGUGAGCUGUUUAUUUAAAAUAGUUUUAAAUAUUCAAACUGUCAGGAAUGAUCUUCAUGACUAAAAACUGAAACUUAAUUUGAACUAGUAAAAUAACUUUUGUGAAGUCUGUACGUCGUCAGACCGGCAGCGACUGAACGUCUGAACAAGCUCCUGAAUCGAGAACUUUUUAUAUUUUCUCAGAAACACGGUUGUUGGUGAACAAUAUCUGAAAGAUUCAGCUGGUGUUUUCUCCCACCCUGUUACUGACCCCCCCCCCCCCCACACACACACAUGCACUUUACAGACCACUGUAGUCCAGUGUGAACCCCCACCAGACCUGAUCCUCCCCCCUCACUAACGCUGUGAAGAGGAGGGUAGCCGUGUGUGUGUGUGUGUGUGUGUGAAUAAUAAAUUGAGAUGAUUCUCAGUUUGAGGGCAGGAACUACUUUCCCUCUGACACGUACCAGACCCCAUAGAGAAAUAUUGCAAUUUCAGCCUUCAGCACAACGUGUGUGUGUGUGUGUGUGUGUGUGUUAAUGACGGAUGUUUGUGUGUUUUUGGUCACCAGGGUGCCAGAGUUGUGGUUUCCCGCUCUUUUGCUGACUGUCACCUCUCAGGCGACCUUUGACAUCAAGGUGGGUCGAAACGAAAACACUUUGUUACCUUUAAUGCCACAUUUAUUCUGUCGUCGUAUUUAUCUGCGAUUUGUUAUUUAAAUGUGUGCCUCCCCAGAAAAAUAAACCUACCAAAGGGACAACAUCGAUAGGGUUAGUUAGCGGCGUCGUUUUUGUCAAUUAUGCACCAAAGCUAUGGAACACUUUACCUGCAGACAUUAGGGAGGCAAGCUCGCUCAGUAUCUUCACAAGUAAACUGAAGACAUAUCUCUUUACUUUAGCCUUUUAAUGGUGAUAUUUUAUAUCUCUUUACUUUAGCCUUUUAAUAGUGAUAUUUUAUAUCUCUUUACUUUAGCCUUUUAAUGGUGAUAUUUUAUAUCUCUUUACUUUAGCCUUUUAAUAGUGAUAUUUUAUAUCUCUUUACUUUAGCCUUUUAAUAGUGAUAUUUUAUAUCUCUUUACUUUAGCCUUUUAAUAGUGAUAUUUUAUAUCUCUUUACUUUAGCCUUUUAAUAGUGAUAUUUUAUAUCUCUUUACUUU